GAAUUGUUAUGCAUACAGGGGGGAAAAGCAUCUAAACCCUAUCGAGUAGCGGGCGGCGAUGGAGGUGGAUACCGCCAUGGAGUUGGAUGCGGAGGCUGCGGCACCCUCGCCUUCCUCCAAACGCCUCUCUAUCAGAAACACUAUCCAAACUAAUUUCGGCGAUGAUUACAUCUUUCAGAUAGCUGUCAACCAGGAGAUCUCAAAUUUGGCCUUGUCCUUGUCGUCAAAUGCAAUCAAAUUUUACUCAGCAGUAACUGGCCAAUAUGUCGGCGAGUGUAGAGGGCACAAUGGAACAAUUCAUGAAAUUUCCUUUUCCGUUCCAUCCUCACCACAAACAAUCUGUUCUUGUUCAUCUGAUGGCACUGUCAGAGCAUGGGAUGUCAGGACAUUCAAGCAGGUUUCUUCACUAAGUACUAGUUCCUCUCAAGAAUUAUUUAGCUUUUGCUUUGGAGGAUCAAGCGGCAACCUACUUGCUGGUGGAAGCAAUGCUCAGAUAUACUUUUGGGACUGGAGAAAUGGUAAUCAAAUGGCAUGUUUGGAGGAGUCCCAUAUGGAUGAUGUCACACAGGUAAGGUUUGUUCCCCAUCUGCAAAAUCAGCUAAUCUCUUCUUCAGUUGAUGGGUUGAUGUGUCUCUUUGACGCGAGUGGACCUAUUAAUGACGAUGACCAUCUGGAUCAAGUGAUGAAUGUGGAAACUUCAAUUGCAAAAAUAGGAUUCUUUGGAACCAUGAAUCAGAAGCUUUGGUGUAUGACACAUCUAGAGACAUUGAGCAUUUGGGAUUGGAGAAAUGCAAGAAGAGAAGUGAAUUUUGAAGAUGCUCGUUCGCUCGCUUCCAAUAAGUGGAAUCUCGAUGAUAUAGAUUAUUUCGUUGAUUGCCAUUACUCUGAAAUUGAUGAUCGGCUAUGGGUGAUUGGUGGCACGGGCUCAGGGACUCUUGGGUACUUCCCCAUCCACAAUGAUCAUGUUGGAACAAUUGGGGUUGCAGAAGCUAUUCUUGAGGGUGGACAUGCUGGAGUUGUCAGAACUGUCUUGCCUGCUUCAGGAACUCAACGCUCCAUUUCGAAAAAUAACAUUUUCUGUUGGACUGGAGGUGAAGAUGGUCGCUUGUGUUGUUGGUUAUCAGACGAGCCAUCGGGAUCCAACAGUUCAUGGAUUUCAAAAUCUCUUGUCAUGAGAUCACACAAGGACCGCAGCAUGCGACAUCAUCCAUAUUGAAGGAUUUAUAUUCAAAGUUUGUUAUGUUGUGAUUGGCAACUACUUGUCCCUCAUAAAUCCGUCAUUUGCUGAUUAUUUGUGUACUAAAUCAACCAUACAACAUAUUCCGGGGACACUAUUUUACACGAGUAUCAGGUGCCGUUUCAUUUUGGCAAACAUAGAUGAGGACCAGAUGUGUGAUAUAAUUUUGUCUUCUUCUGAUUUAAGGAUUAAUCAGAAUGAAGCUUGUGAGCACCGCACAGAGAAGAUAGCGUUUCGGACAUUGUCAGCCAAACAAAACCUUUGCACUACACACACA